UUUAUUUGAGGGGGCGCUGUCUUGCCCCUGCGUAGAGCCGGCCUCAGUCCCACCCAGCUUGUAACUUUGACGCAAAUGCACGCCCACUUCCUGAUACCCCUUAUUCCUCCUUUUUUUCGUGUGGCAUCGUUGAAAAUCUUGUGACAAUGGCUACAGAGUUUGGAAAAUGGAGUGAGACACGCGAUGCCACCAGGCAAACUCAGGAGCUUUGUGAUCGGUUGAAGGUCGACGUGGAGAAAAGGACAGGCCUGAAGUAUGAGAUGUACCAGGCAGUUAAAUACAGGAUUAAAGUUGGGGUGCACAAGAGGGAGACGUUUUCAUGGUUAAGGUAGGUGUUGGAGAAGAGGACUACAUUCAUCUGGGAAUCUCCUAUCCAUGCAUGACAUGUCAGCAGGGAGGCCACCGUUGCUGCACAGCGUCGAGACGAACAAAACCAAAGACGACCCCCUCGAACCUUUGACAAGCUGAUCACAGUGUUUUUCAAGUUAAAUACUUAUUGGCUGCAGUGUCAUAUUAAAACACUGGUUUUUUUUAAAUUCUGGCAUAAUUUGACAUUAUUUUAAAAUGUAAAAUGCAGAGAUAAAGACACUUUGGUUUGGAAGCAGCCAGCUGAAUGCACUACCCUCUGAAGAAAUAAAGAUGAAUGCAUUAGAAAA